ACGAAUCGCGAAAAAAUUUGUAGCAAAGAUUUAAAUCCGGAAAUUUUAAUUCGGAAGACGAGGACCGUUCGAGUGCAUCGAGAAAGUUCGACGAGGAGGCGAAUCGAAGGAAACGCUCGACAAAAAUCCUAUUCAGACGCGAGAAGAAUUGGAAAGAUCGUGAGGCGCGAGACAUCUAUCUAUCUGAUUUACGUAUUUAAUUAAAAUCUCGAAUUUGGAAAAAGAAGGGGAAAGAACUUAUCCCUUGUCCCUUCGAAUUCUACGCUCUUCUAUAUUUCCAAGGCAACGAUUCUAUCAUCGAGGAUUCGCCUUCUGUCCCGUUUCCAAACGCGAGAAGAAGCAGUAAUACAUAACGUAAUAAAAUUCUCGAAUUUGGAAAAAAGAAGGGGAAAGAACUUAUCUCUUCUCCCUUCGAAUUCUACGCUCUUCUAUAUUUCCAAGGCAACGAUUCUAUCAUCGAGGAUUCGCCUUCUGUCCCGUUUCCAAACGCGAGAAGAAGCGGCGUGAUACAUAAUAUAAUAAAAUCUGGAAUUUGG